rnacentral:rRNA from 1 species
GGGUUGUAAACCUCUUUUCUCAGGGAAGAACACAAUGACGGUACCUGAGGAAUCAGCCUCGGCUAACUCCGUGCCAGCAGCCGCGGUAAUACGGAGGAGGCAAGCGUUAUCCGGAAUUAUUGGGCGUAAAGCGUCCGUAGGUGGUCAUGUAAGUCGGUCGUCAAAGCACAGGGCUUAACCCUGUAAUGGCGGUGGAAACUGCACGACUAGAGAGAGGUAGGGGUAGAGGGAAUUCCCAGUGUAGCGGUGAAAUGCGUAGAGAUUGGGAAGAACAUCGGUGGCGAAAGCGCUCUACUGGACCUCAUCUGACGCUGAUGGACGAAAGCUAGGGGAGCGAAUGGGAUUAGAUACCCCAGUAGUCCUAGCCGUAAACGAUGGAUACUAGAUGUUGUCUGUAUCGACCCAGACAGUGUCGUAGCUAACGCGUUAAGUAUCCCGCCUGGGGAGUACGCACGCAAGUGUGAAACUCAAAGGAAUUGACGGGGGCCCGCACAAGCGGUGGAGUAUGUGGUUUAAUUCGAUGCAACGCGAAGAACCUUACCAGCUUUUGACAUGUCCGGUUUGAUCGGCAGAGAUGCCUUUCUUCAGUUCGGCUGGCCGGAACACAGGUGCUGCAUGGCUGUCGUCAGCUCGUGUCGUGAGAUGUUGGGUUAAGUCCCGCAACGAGCGCAACCCUCGCCCCUAGUUGCCAUCAUUCAG